CGUAAACGAUGAAUGCUAAGUGUGGAGGGUUUCCGCCUUCAGUGCUGCAGCUAACGCAUUAAGCAUUCCGCCUGGGGAGUACGGCCGCAAGGCUGAAACUCAAAGGAAUUGACGGGGGCCCGCACAAGCGGUGGAGCAUGUGGUUUAAUUCGAAGCUACGCGAAGAACCUUACCAGGUCUUGACAUACUAUGCAAAUCUAAGAGAUUAGACGUUCCCUUCGGGGACAUGGAUACAGGUGGUGCAUGGUUGUCGUCAGCUCGUGUCGUGAGAUGUUGGGUUAAGUCCCGCAACGAGCGCAACCCUUAUUAUCAGUUGCCAGCAUUAAGUUGGGCACUCUGGUGAGACUGCCGGUGACAAACCGGAGGAAGGUGGGGAUGACGUCAAAUCAUCAUGCCCCUUAUGACCUGGGCUACACACGUGCUACAAUGGAUGGUACAACGAGUUGCGAACUCGCGAGAGUAAGCUAAUCUCUUAAAGCCAUUCUCAGUUCGGAUUGUAGGCUGCAACUCGCCUACAUGAAGUCGGAAUCGCUAGUAAUCGCGGAUCAGCAUGCCGCGGUGAAUACGUUCCCGGGCCUUGUACACACCGCCCGUCACACCAUGAGAGUUUGUAACACCCAAAGUCGGUGGGGUAACCUUUAGGAACCAGCCGCCUAAGGUGGGACAGAUGAUUAGGGUGAAGUCGUAACAAGGUAACCA
rnacentral:rRNA from 1 species